rnacentral:rRNA from 1 species
GACGGAGGGUGCAAGCGUUGUUCGGAAUUACUGGGCGUAAAGCGUACGUAGGCGGCGGAUUAAGUCGAAUGUUAAAGCCUGAGGCUCAACCUCAGAGAUGCACUCGAUACUGGUCUGCUAGAGGGUGAUAGAGGAAAGCGGAAUUCCCAGUGUAGCGGUGAAAUGCGUAGAUAUUGGGAGGAACAUCAGUAGCGAAGGCGACUACCUGGCCUGUUCUUGACGCUGAGGCGCGAAAGCUAGGGGAGCAAACGGG